UACGUAGGGAGCAAGCGUUGUCCGGAAUCAUUGGGCGUAAAGCGCGCGUAGGUGGCUUCAUAAGUCCGUUGUGAAAGUCAAAGGCUCAACCUUUGAAAGCCGAUGGAUACUGUGAAGCUAGAGUACGGAAGAGGCGAGUGGAAUUCCUGGUGUAGCGGUGAAAUGCGCAGAUAUCAGGAGGAACACCAAUUGCGAAGGCAGCUCGCUGGGACGUUACUGACGCUGAGACGCGAAAGCGUGGGGAGCAAACAGG
rnacentral:rRNA from 1 species